rnacentral:rRNA from 1 species
GAUGAACGCUGGCGGCGUGCCUAAUACAUGCAAGUCGAGCGAACAGACGAGGAGCUUGCUCCUCUGACGUUAGCGGCGGACGGGUGAGUAACACGUGGAGAACCUACCUAUAAGACUGGGAUAACUUCGGGAAACCGGAGCUAAUACCGGAUAAUAUAUUGAACCGCAUGGUUCAAUAGUGAAAGACGGUUUUGCUGUCACUUAUAGAUGGAUCCGCGCCGCAUUAGCUAGUUGGUAAGGUAACGGCUUACCAAGGCGACGAUGCGUAGCCGACCUGAGAGGGUGAUCGGCCACACUGGAACUGAGACACGGUCCAGACUCCUACGGGAGGCCGCAGUAGGGAAUCUUCCGCGAUGGGCGAAAGCCUGACGGAGCAACGCCGCGUGAGUGAUGAAGGUCUUCGGAUCGUAAAACUCUGUUAUUAGGGAAGAACAAAUGUGUAAGUAACUAUGCACGUCUUGACGGUACCUAAUCAGAAAGCCACGGCUAACUACGUG